UACGUAGGUGGCAAUCGUUGUCCGGAUUUACUGGGUGUAAAGGGCGUGCAGCCGGAGAGACAAGUCAGAUGUGAAAUCCACGGGCUCAACCCGUGAACUGCAUUUGAAACUGUUUCCCUUGAGUGUCGGAGAGGUAAUCGGAAUUCCUUGUGUAGCGGUGAAAUGCGUAGAUAUAAGGAAGAACACCAGUGGCGAAGGCGGAUUACUGGACGAUAACUGACGGUGAGGCGCGAAAGCGUGGGGAGCAAACAGG
rnacentral:rRNA from 1 species